AACGUAGGACACAAGCGUUAUCCGGGGUUACUGGGCGUAAAGGGCGUGUAGGCGGGCGAUUAAGUUCGCUCUGAAAGCGCCAGGCUAAACCUGGCGAGGCUGGCGGAUACUGGUCAUCUGGAGUGAGGGAGAGGGAAGUAGAAUUCCGCGUGUAGUGGUGAAAUGCGUAGAGAUGCGGAGGAAUACCAGUGGCGAAGGCGACUUCCUGGCCCUCAACUGACGCUGAAGCGCGAAAGCAUGGGGAGCGAACGGG
rnacentral:rRNA from 1 species